rnacentral:rRNA from 1 species
ACGAACGCUGGCGGCGUGCUUAAGACAUGCAAGUCGAACGGGGUCCAUCCUUCGGGAGAAGACCUAGUGGCGAACGGGUGAGUAACACGUGAGCAACCUGCCCCAAAGACAGGGAUAAGCGAGGGAAACUUCGUCUAAUACCUGAUGCCCUUCAUUCAUCACAUGUUGGUUGAAGGAAAUGAUUUAUCGCUUUGGGAGGGGCUCGCGGCCUAUCAGCUUGUUGGUGGGGUAAUGGCCUACCAAGGCGUCGACGGGUAGCUGGUCUGAGAGGAUGAUCAGCCACACUGGGACUGAGAUACGGCCCAGACUCCUACGGGAGGCAGCAGUUAGGAAUCUUGCGCAAUGGGCGAAAGCCUGACGCAGCAACGCCGCGUGGGGGAUGAAUGGUUUCGGCUUGUAAACCCCUUUCAGCAGGAACGAAAUUGACGGUACCUGCAGAAGAAGCUCCGGCCAACUACGU